CAGAAUAAACUGCUGUAAUAACUGAUUAAUGAUCAGCACCUGUGACAGGUGUGGAAUAGGACUGGAAACUCGCUGCGAUUAACAGGCGCUGGACGGAUAAAUACAGCAACAGGAGAAGGCAGCGAAAAAACAAACUUUACUGCCAUCACUUACUACAGACAACAGAAAUAUAGGCUGAUCAACCGAAGAAAUAUUGUACCUCGAGACAAUACAUUACAAGUCAGGUGCUGAAAGAGGGCUUGGCUGUUUGUCUAUUGUGUGUGAAUCCAGGCCCCUGAUGAUGUUACCGACACACAAGUGCAUGCAUUAGUCUGUGCUGCACUUGCUGCUGUCACCUCCCACCUUGAAACCAGGAACCUGGGGAUUGUAUUCUGAGGGAGGGCACAGAAGCCAGAUGUAGGCAGUUCCCAAAAGCAAGCCAGCAGUGUGAUAGAGGACACAGGACAUGGCCAAUUGCCACCAAUACAAGCACAGAUCCUUGGGUUUGUUGAUCCUGAGAAGCAGCCCGUAACAAAGCUUUUAAUCUGGAUAACCUCUGACGGAAUUUUUUUUUUUAAAUCAUAAGCUUUCUGAAGGAAGAUGUCAUUCCUAUUAUUUAUUCGCCUGAGCUGGAGAAAUUGUCCAUAAGGGAUAGCAGUUUCUUAUAUUUGCUGGCUGAGCGAUAGCACCAAUGCAGAUAUAUAUUUCAAGCAGUAGACCUAAGAUACCUAGAAAUGACCAAAGUACCUUUGACCUGUACUAAAGAUUCCAAAAAAUUUAACUUCGAACUUAUUUUAGAGUAAAUUUCAUA